rnacentral:lncRNA from 1 species
UAACUUAAGGAGAGCAGUUACUGGAACUAGGUUUAUCUGAGAUGUCUUUGUUGUCACCAUUAACAUCACAUGGCUCUUGUAAUAGACUGAAUGUUUACUUAGUUUUUGCAUAAUUUGUUAGUGGGCAACACAGGACCAGCCAAAGUUGUGUCAAGAGGAUUAUAAUAGAUAUCAAAAUCCUUGAGGGUAUUUGUUCAAUGCCGAUGUUCUAUAAAAUAGAUUUUUAAAUUUUUCUCGCUUUUAUCAGCAUUAGUAUAACUGACAUGAAAGGCUAAUUGGACUUUAUGUAGUUUAGGAAAGCCUCAUGCAUUCAGCCACUAUUAAAUUUUAAAUAACUCCAUUCUGGAUACAUCUAAUGGAUGAAAAGGAACAUGAAAGGAUUUGAAUUGUGAGUCCAUUCCUUGAGUAUUUAUGUGGAGAUUUAAAAAAAAAAAAAAACCCGGUUAUUGAUGAGAAAGUACUUUCUAACUGAAAUUUAUUAAAAUUUCAAAAGGUAAAAUCCUAUAUUUAUGUCCUCUGCCUACAUAUGAAGAUGAACUAUACAUUUGUAGCAGGAGAAGAAAGUCCACAGGAUCCUUCAUCUUUUAUUCUUGCUGAGGCCAUUUCAGGUUUGACUAGAAUUUGAUUUUCUUGAUAGAGAAUUUUGUGGAAAAUUGCACAACUCUAUUCUAGAAACUGGAGAUCAACUUGGCUAUGAUAAUUCAUCCUGGCUUUAGUUAAAUGACCUGUGUAUUUAAACCUCCCCCUCUGGUUAUCUGCUUAUCUUGGCUUCUGUUAAACUGCCUGUUCAGAUAAAAGCUGAAUAAGUAUUAAAUACUUCAAUGUACUCAGAGCUGGCUGGAAUAAAGACCAGCAAUUGGUUAUACACUGUGUUUAAGUGGUCUUCUCUUGUGGGCUUCCUCUAACACAUUAACAAAAAUAUCCAAUUUUAAGUCAUCUAUAAAAAGACAUGUGUGAAAUUUUUCAUCCAUAUGAAAAACUUGGAAUAGUCAACAGCAUACUUCUAGAUCCUCACCUAGAUUCAAAAUUGUUAACAAUGUACAGUGUUGCUCCUACUUUUCUGUGUAUAUAUUUAGUCAUUUGGGGCUGUAUCAUUAAGAAUAUGUUUUAGAACUGAGUGUGGUAGUGCAUCCCUGAGUUCUAGUAAAGGGGAGGCGAAAGGAUCAAGAGUUGGGGUCAAGCCUAGCUAUACAGUGACUUCAAGUUCAACUUUUGCUUUAUAGAGAUCCUUUGUUUAAGAGAAAAAUGUAGAUAUGACAUUUUAUCCCUUACUACAUUAGCCAAGAUGGAAUGUCAUCUGUACCGUAAUUGUCCUUAAGGAAAUGAUCCAGAAUUUUAUGACUGUU